rnacentral:rRNA from 1 species
GAUGAACGCUGGCGGCGUGCCUAACACAUGCAAGUCGAACGAGCGAGAGAGAGCUUGCUUUCUCGAGCGAGUGGCGAACGGGUGAGUAACGCGUGAGGAACCUGCCUCAAAGAGGGGGACAACAGUUAGAAAUGACUGCUAAUACCGCAUAGGCGCACAGGACCGCAUGGUCUGGUGUGAAAAACUCCGGUGGUAUGAGAUGGACCCGCGUCUGAUUAGCUAGUUGGAGGGGUAACGGCCCACCAAGGCGACGAUCAGUAGCCGGCCUGAGAGGGUGAACGGCCACAUUGGGACUGAGACACGGCCCAG